rfam:Aedes albopictus isolate Foshan contig203021, whole genome shotgun sequence.
CAAACGGCCCUUUUCAGGGCCACCGAAAUCGUUCCACGGAAGAGUUA